rnacentral:rRNA from 1 species
GAUAAACGCUGGCGGCGUGCCUAAUACAUGCAAGUCGAGCGAACAGCCGAGAAUCUUGCUUCUCUGAUGUUAGGCGCGGAUGUGGGAGUAGCACGUGGAUAACCUACCUAUAAGACUGGGAUAACUUCGGGAAACCGGAGCUAAUACCGGAUAAUAUUUUGAACAACAUGGUACAAAAGUGAAAGACGGUCUUGCUGUCACUGAUAGAUGGAUCCGCGCUGCAUUAGCUAGUUGGUAAGGUAACGGCUUACGAAGGCAACGAUGCUUAGCCGACCUGAGAGGGUCAUUGCCCACCCUGGAAGUGAGGCUCGGCGCAGACUCCUGGGGGGGGAAGCAGUAGAGAAUCCUCCGCAAUGGAGGAAAGCCUGACGGAGCAACGCCGCGGGAGUGAUGAAGGUGCGAGGACCGGAAAACUCUGUAAUUAGGGGAGAACAUAUGUGUAAGUAGCUGUGCACAUCUUGACGGUACCUAAUCAGAAAGCCACGGCUAACUACGUG